CGACGUCGUCGCGGACGGCGCCGUAGAGGACCUUGGUGAGGUCCCCUCGGGGCAGUUCCACGUCGUCGCCGUCGUC
rnacentral:tRNA from 1 species